AACGGGAUGGCCGAUUUAAGCGAUAAAUUGUAAAUUUAUUUAUGGACCAUUUCCUCCCGUU
rnacentral:tRNA from 1 species